CCUACGGGAGGCUGCAGUGGGGAAUAUUGGGCAAUGGGCGCAAGCCUGACCCAGCAACGCCGCGUGAAGGAUGACUGCCCUAUGGGUUGUAAACUUCUUUUAUAUGGGAAUAAAAUGUUCCACGUGUGGGAUUUUGUAUGUACCAUAUGAAUAAGGAUCGGCUAACUCCGUGCCAGCAGCCGCGGUAAUACGGAGGAUCAGAGCUUUAUCCGGAUUUAUUGGGGUUAAAGGGAGCGUAGGUGGAUUGUUAAGUCAGUUGUGAAAGUUUGCGGCUCAACCGUAAAAUUGCAGUUGAAACUGGCAGUCUUGAGUACAGUAGAGGUGGGCGGAAUUCGUGGUGUAGCGGUGAAAUGCUUAGAUAUCACGAAGAACCCCGAUUGCGAAGGCAGCUUACUAAACUGUGACUGACAUUGAUGCUCGAAAGUGUGGGUAUCAAACAGGAUUAGAUACCCGUUUAGUC
rnacentral:rRNA from 1 species